rnacentral:rRNA from 1 species
AUUGAACGCUGGCGGCAGGCCUAACACAUGCAAGUCGAACGGUAACAGGAAACAGCUUGCUGUUUCGCUGACGAGUGGCGGACGGGUGAGUAAUGUCUGGGAAACUGCCUGAUGGCGGGGGAUAACUACUGGAAACGGUAGCUAAUACCGCAUAACGUCGCAAGACCAAAGAGGGGGACCUUCGGGCCUCUUGCCAUCGGAUGUGCCCAGAUGGGAUUAGCUAGUAGGUGGGGUAACGGCUCACCUAGGCGACGAUCCCUAGCUGGUCUGAGAGGAUGACCAGCCACACUGGAACUGAGACACGGUCCAGACUCCUACGGGAGGCAGCAGUGGGGAAUAUUGCGCAAUGGGCGCAAGCCUGAUGCAGCCAUGCCGCGUGUAUGAAGAAGGCCUUCGGGUUGUAAAGUACUUUCAGCGGGGAGGAAGGGAGUAAAGUUAAUACCUUUACUCAUUGACGUUACCCGCAGAAGAAGCACCGGCUAACUCCGUG